UAUUGCAUCUCUUAGGGUUAAUUAACUGUGUGAAUUGACAAGGAAGGUCUUUAGCGGUCUGAUGGGGCAAAAAUCAGCGGCAGCGGAAAAGUCCGUCCCGACCUCACUGUGAGGGGACUUGAUAAUGCCUAAUUGAUGGUUAUGAGUCAUUUGAGUCUGUUGUAAAUGCAUCAAACCCUCUGGUUGAUAAGGUACAAGUGGCCAAGGAAGAAAAUAGUAUUGAUGAUGGUGAAGACAAUGAUGAUUUGGAUUGGUUGGAGUCGCCUUCUAAGGUGCCUCUUAACAAGGGGAAGCGAUGCGAGCGUGAUUAUAAAGGAGUUGAGGUAUAAUAAUUAAGUUAGAUUUGUUGACUUAUGUGAUGUAUGUCUGUAUAUGUGAGUAUAAACAUAUUUUACUUUUGAUUUUCAAUGCUGUUCAUUAUUAA